rnacentral:misc_RNA from 1 species
GGAUUGGGAAUAUUCACACAUUUUUCCAAGUCGAAUUUUCAGGAUAACAAACAGAUAACUAAAGGAAAGAAGAGAAAGAAAUCACCACCGCCGAUCGGAAUCAUUGGGAAUCAUUUUGAAGAAGCGGUUCAAGAACAGCCGAUCUAGGGUUCUUCAUCGGAGGUCCUUUUUCUCUUCGUUCCAGCUCCUCCAAUCUAAACGUUAUCAAUCGAUCCCAGUUUCCUCCUUCGAAAAGAACCCCAGCCUUUCCAUCUGUGAUUCUCUGAACGAUUCCACAAUACAUGUAGUACGGAUUGUUCGGAUUCUUAACGAUCGCGAUCAUUCCCGGCAGCAGCAGCGGAAGAUCUGGCGGCUUUGGUUUCUGCGAACUCAGAAUCGCGCUGGUUUCGCCGGAAUUUGAACCGGAAGGCUUCGGAGGAGGAGGAGGAGGAUUUUCCGAUAUGAAUUUUCUCAAUCCCUUUUCUCCGCCAGGAAAUCCACCCGUUAAGCCCAUCAAUUCCUUCUCGAAUCCAUCUUCCGGAACCGUAUCGACGGCUAAUUUCUCGGAGG